rnacentral:tRNA from 1 species
CCGGGUGUGGCGAAGUUUGGUAUCGCGCUUGGUUCGGGACCAAGAGGCCAUGGGUUCAAGUCCCGUCACUCGGACCA